rnacentral:rRNA from 1 species
AGAGUUUGAUCAUGGCUCAGAACGAACGUUGGCGGCGUGGAUCAGGCAUGCAAGUCGAACGAAUCCCCUUUGGGUAACUGAGGGGGGGAAGUGGCGAAAGGGGCAGUAAGGCAUGGGUGACCUGCCCCGGACUUCGGGAUAGCCCUUCUAACGAGGGGGUAAUACCGGAUGCCGUCCGCAAGGACGAAAGCUCAGGCGGUCCGGGAGGGGCUCAUGUGGUAUUAGCUAGUUGGUGCGGUAACGGCGCACCAAGGCCGAGAUGCCUAGCAGGUGUGAGAGCACGACCUGCGCCACUGGCACUGUGACACUGGCCAGACUCCUACGGGAGGCUGCAGUCGAGGAUCUUCGGCAAUGGGCGAAAGCCUGACCGAGCGACGCCGCGUGUGAGAUGAAGGCUUUCGGGUUGUAAAGCACUGUCGGGGGGGAGAAAAGGCAACCUGAUCGACCCCCGGAGGAAGCUCGGGCUAAGUUCGUGCCAGCCGCCGCGGUAAUAC